rnacentral:rRNA from 1 species
AUUGAACGCUGGCGGCAUGCCUUACACAUGCAAGUCGAACGGUAACGCGGGAGCAAUCCUGGUGGCGAGUGGCGAACGGGUGAGUAAUAUAUCGGAACGUGCCCAGUCGUGGGGGAUAACGCAGCGAAAGCUGUGCUAAUACCGCAUACGAUCUAAGGAUGAAAGCGGGGGAUCGCAAGACCUCGCGCGAUUGGAGCGGCCGAUAUCAGAUUAGCUAGUUGGUGGGGUAAAGGCCCACCAAGGCGACGAUCUGUAGCUGGUCUGAGAGGACGACCAGCCACACUGGAACUGAGACACGGUCCAGACUCCUACGGGAGGCAGCAGUGGGGAAUUUUGGACAAUGGGCGCAAGCCUGAUCCAGCAAUGCCGCGUGCAGGAUGAAGGCCUUCGGGUUGUAAACUGCUUUUGUACGGAACGUAACGGCCCUUUCUAAUACAGGGGGCUAAUGACGGUACCGUAAGAAUAAGCACCGGCUAACUACGUGCCAGCCGCCGCCGUAA